GGCUCCNUGAAAUUUUUUAUAUAAGGGGUCGGACCUGCCCGGUGACUGGAAUGUUAAACGGCCGCGGUACCCUAACCGUGCAAAGGUAGCAUAAUCAUUUGCCUUUUAAUUGGAGGCUUGUAUGAAUGGUUUGACGAGAGCUAAGCUGUCUCUUUUGAAAUAUUUAAAAAUUAACUUUUAGGUGAAGAGGCCUAAAUAAAGUUGAGGGACAAGAAGACCCUGUUGAGCUUUAGUGUUGUGUUAAAUUGAUUGUGGUGAUUUAUUUUGUUGGGUAAAUUAUNUAAUGUAUUGAGAUAUAAUGGCAUUUUAUCAUAAUAUCUUUAGUUGGGGCGANUGAGGAACAUUUAAAGCUUCCUUUAAAUUAAGUAGUAAGUAACUUAUAAUAAUAAAGUUGUNGCNGACNANNUAAUAGUAGAUCCAGUAUUUAUUGAUUAAAGGAANAAGUUACCACAGGGAUAACAGCGUAAUCUUUCUGGAGAGAUCUUAUCGAAAGGAGGGUUUGCGACCUCGAUGUUGGACUAAGAUAUCCUAAGGGUGUAGAAGCUCUUGAUGG
rnacentral:rRNA from 1 species